rnacentral:rRNA from 1 species
CCCGCAGGCGGUCGGUCGCGUUUGAGGUAACAGCUCCUGGCUUACCUGGGAGAGCGUCUCAAAGACGGGCUGACUUGAGGACCAGAGAGGGACACGGAAUUCCGGGUGGAGUGGUGAAAUGCGUAGAUAUCCGGAGGAACACCGAAGGCGUAGGCAGUGUCCUGGCUGGCACCUGACGCUCAGGGGCGAAAGCUAGGGGGAGCGAACGGGAUUAGAUACCCCGGUAGUCCUAGCCGUAAACGAUGACCACUAGGUGUGCGGGGUAUCGACCCCCUGCGUGCCGCAGCUAACGCAAUAAGUGGUCCGCCUGGGGAGUACGGUCGCAAGAUUAAA